rnacentral:rRNA from 1 species
GACAGAGGUGCCCAAGCGUUAGGCGGAAUCACUGGGCUUAAAGCGUGUGUAGGCGGAUGCCUAAGUACCUUGUGAAAUCCCACGGCUCACCCGUGGAACUGCUUGGUAUACUGGGUGUCUUGAGCCACUUAGGGGCUACCGGAACAAAUGGUGGAGCGGUGAAAUGCGUAGAUAUCAUUGGAACGCCAAUGGUGAAAACAGGUAGCUGGGAGUGUGCUGACGCUGAGACACGAAAGCCAGGGAGCAAACGGG